rnacentral:rRNA from 1 species
UACGGGGGGGGCAAGCGUUGUUCGGAAUUACUGGGCGUAAAGGGCUCGUAGGCGGCCAACUAAGUCGGACGUGAAAUCCCUCGGCUUAACCGGGGAACUGCGUCCGAUACUGGAUGGCUCGAGUAUGGGAGAGGGAUGCGGAAUCCCAGGUGUAGCGGUGAAAUGCGUAGAUAUCUGGAGGAACACCGGUGGCGAAGGCGGCAUCCUGGACCGACACUGACGCUGAGGAGCGAAAGCCAGGGGAGCAAACGGG